rnacentral:rRNA from 1 species
UACGUAGGGUGCGAGCGUUGUCCGGAAUUAUUGGGCGUAAAGGGCUCGUAGGCGGUUUGUCGCGUCGGGAGUGAAAACACUGGGCUUAACCGAGUGCUUGCUUUCGAUACGGGCAGACUAGAGGUAUGCAGGGGAGAACGGAAUUCCUGGUGUAGCGGUGAAAUGCGUAGAUAUCGGGAGGAACACCAGUGGCGAAGGCGACUACCUGGCCUGUUCUUGACGCUGAGGCGCGAAAGCUAGGGGAGCAAACGGGG